CUUUGAUUGACAAACACAAACUCACACACCCACUCACAGACAGGCACAUACUCUCAUAUACACCGACAUACAUAAACACUCACUGAUUUGACACAAUCUGACAGACACACACAAUCACUCACUCACUGACACUGACUGACAGAUACACCCACUGACACACAUACACUCACUCACAGAUGCACACUGGCAGACAUACACACAUUCACUGACAGACAAACACAUACUGACUGACAGACACACUCACUGACAUAACCACACACUCACUCACACACACACACACAUCCACUGACAGAGUCACACACACUGACAGACACACCCACAUUCACUUACAGACACACAUGGUCGCUCACAGACACACACACAUUUACUGACAGACACACUCACUCACUCAUUCAUUCACAAAGACAUGCUCACUCACAGACAGACACACACAGACUGACAGACAGACACACAAACUGACAGACACACGCGCACACACACAC